CGCCGCGCGCGCGGCGGGCCUACGGGAGGCAGCAGUGGGGAAUAUUGCACAAUGGGCGCAAGCCUGAUGCAGCCAUGCCGCGUGUAUGAAGAAGGCCUUCGGGUUGUAAAGUACUUUCAGCGGGAGGAAGGGGUUGAGGUUAAUAACCUCAGCGAUUGACGUUACCCGCAGAAGAAGCACCGGCUAACUCCGUGCCAGCAGCCGCGGUAAUA
rnacentral:rRNA from 1 species